UAAGGAAUAGCCUUUGGAAACGAAGAGUAAUACCUUAUACGCCCUUCGGGGGAAAGAUUUAUCGGUAAAGGAUCGGCCCGCGGUAGAUUAGAUAGUUGGUGGGUUAAUGGCCUGCCAAGUCUACGAUCUAUAGCUGGUUUGAGAGGAUGAUCAGCAACACUGGGACUGAGACACGGCCCAGACUCCUACGGGAGGCAGCAGUGGGGAAUCUUAGACAAUGGGCGAAAGCCUGAUCUAGCCAUGCCGCGUGAGUGAAGAAGGCCUUAGGGUCGUAAAACUCUUUCGCCAGAGAUGAUAAUGACAGUAUCUGGUAAAGAAACCCCGGCUAACUCCGUGCCAGCAGCCGCGGUAAUACGGAGGGGGUUAGCGUUGUUCGGAAUUACUGGGCGUAAAGCGUACGUAGGCGGAUCGGAAAGUAUAGGUUGAAAUCCCAGGGCUCAACCCUGGAACUGCCUUAUAAACUCCCGGUCUUGAGUUCGAGAGAGGUGAGUGGAAUUCCAAGUGUAGAGGUGAAAUUCGUAGAUAUUUGGAGGAACACCAGUGGCGAAGGCGGCUCACUGGCUCGAUACUGACGCUGAGGUACGAAAGUGUGGGGAGCAAACAGGAUUAGAUACCCUGGUAGUCCACACCGUAAACGAUGAAUGCCAGUCGUCGGAUAGCAUGCUAUUCGGUGACACACCUAACGGAUUAAGCAUUCCGCAUGGGGAGUACGGUCGCAAGAUUAAAACUCAAAGGAAUUGACGGGGGCCCGCGCAAGCGGUGGAGCAUGUGGUUUAAUUCGAAGCAACGCGCAGAACCUUACCAGCCCUUGACAUACCAAUCGCGGUUAGUGGAGACACUUUCCUUCAGUUCGGCUGGAUUGGAUACAGGUGCUACAUGGCUGUCGUCAGCUCGUGUCGUGAGAUGUUGGGUUAAGUCCCGCAACGAGCGCAACCCUCAUCCUUAGUUGCCAUCAUUUAGUUGGGCACUCUAGGGAAACUGCCGGUGAUAAGCCGGAGGAAGGUGGGGAUGACGUCAAGUCCUCAUGGCCCUUAUGGGCUGGGCUACACACGUGCUACAAUGGCGGUGACAGAGGGCAGCCACUCCGCGAGGAGGAGCUAAUCCCUAAAAACCGUCUCAGUCCGGAUUGUUCUCUGCAACUCGAGAGCAUGAAGUUGGAAUCGCUAGUAAUCGUGGAUCAGCAUGCCACGGUGAAUACGUUCCCGGGCCUUGU
rnacentral:rRNA from 1 species